rnacentral:rRNA from 1 species
UACGUAGGGGGCUAGCGUUGUCCGGAAUUACUGGGCGUAAAGGGAGUGUAGACGGCUUGUCAAGUUAUGUGUGAAAGCCCGCGGCUCAACCGUGGAACUGCACAUAAAACUGACUCGCUAGAGUGCAGGAGAGGUAAGCGGAAUUCCUAGUGUAGCGGUGGAAUGCGUAGAUAUUAGGAGGAACACCAGAGGCGAAGGCGGCUUACUGGACUGCAACUGACGUUGAGGCUCGAAAGCGUGGGGAGCAAACAGG